UGAAUAGGGCGCAUGAGUACGUGGUCGUAGACCCGAAACCAGGUGAUCUACCCAUGUCCAGGGUGAAGUUCAGGUAACACUGAAUGGAGGCCCGAACCCACGCACGUUGAAAAGUGCGGGGAUGAGGUGUGGGUAGGGGUGAAAUGCCAAUCGAACCUGGAGAUAGCUGGUUCUCUCCGAAAUAGCUUUAGGGCUAGCCUCAAGGUAAGAGUCUUGGAGGUAGAGCACUGAUUGGACUAGGGGCCCCUACCGGGUUACCGAAUUCAGUCAAACUCCGAAUGCCAAUGACUUAUCCUUGGGAGUCAGACUGCGAGUGAUAAGAUCCGUAGUCGAAAGGGAAACAGCCCAGACCGCCAGCUAAGGUCCCAAAGUAUACGUUAAGUGGAAAAGGAUGUGGAGUUGCUUAGAC
rnacentral:rRNA from 1 species